GCCAGUGCGCAUGCACGUCAUUACAUCGUUCGCAUGGCAAGGCACCGGACGUGCAGGGCUUCGCUCCCUGCCGAUGUGAAGGUGAAACCUGCAGCUGUUGCCUGACUCACUGAGUAUUUCCAACAGUUUUGUUGAGGUUUUCUCAAAAAUGCAUCCUAGCUUGACACGAGGCAGCAAAGUCCAAAGAAUCGUCGUUUCCUCCGUCUUACGAGUGGAUAUGUAGUCAGAUUAAGGAGACUGCUAUCAUCUGUACAAGAAAUAUGAAAAAUAUAAUAUCCUCACAUAUUGAU